GAUGAACGCUGGCGGCGUGCCUAAUACAUGCAAGUCGAGCGAACAGACGAGGAGCUUGCUCCUCUGACGUUAGCGGCGGACGGGUGAGUAACACGUGGAUAACCUACCUAUAAGACUGGGGUAACUUCGGGAAACCGGAGCUAAUACCGGAUAAUAUAUUGAACCGCAUGGUUCAAUAGUGAAAGACGGUUUUGCUGUCACUUAUAGAUGGAUCCGCGCCGCAUUAGCUAGUUGGUAAGGUAACGGCUUACCAAGGCAACGAUGCGUAGCCGACCUGAGAGGGUGAUCGGCCACACUGGAACUGAGACACGGUCCAGACUCCUAUGGGAGGCAGCAGUAGGGAAUCUUCCGCAAUGGGCGAAAGCCUGACGGAGCAACGCCGCGUGAGUGAUGAAGGUCUUCGGAUCGUAAAACUCUGUUAUUAGGGAAGAACAAAUGUGUAAGUAACUAUGCACGUCUUGACGGUACCUAAUCAGAAAGCCACGGCUAACUACGUG
rnacentral:rRNA from 1 species